UAGAAACUCAGUUGUGCUGGGCCAGAAAGUACCUCUUCCAGUUCGACUAUUUGAUAACUCUUCUCUUCGCUGGUGAAGCAGAAAUGGAUGCUGGAAAAACCAAAAUCUAAAAAGGAAUUGGUUCCCUAAAGCUGUGCAUGACUGACCUCUCAAAGAAAAAUAAUGAAUAUUUUACAUCUUCAUUAGUCCAUCUUCCUGCCGAUACAAGUUUACAAAUAUCUUCUCAGUUCUUCACAUAGAUGGAAUACUUUAGACAAUUCAACGUCACGAUUCCAGAAUGUGUUACAAGAGAAUGUAAAUAUUUGAGAAAAAUAAAUAGUGACCUGAAGCAAACUACUUGGGGGGCCUACAACAAUGUAGAUAACUCUUUCCCCUGUUCUCUUGAACUUUCCUGACUACUUAGGCAUUGUGCUUCUGGCUAAGGAUGGCAGUAGAGGAGCCAAAAUUCUAUACAAAAAAUUACUCCUGUGGUUUUUUUCUGGCUCCUGUUAACAGCAAUAAAUUCGGGGAUACCAGAUAUAUUAAGAUAACGUAUUUUCAUUAGACUUCUGACCCAACCGUGGAUCCAUGUGGUUCAGAUAAAAUGCAUUCAUGUACACAGAUCGGAGAUGCUCGUCAUAACCAUACAGGCCUCUAGUACCCUAGAGCACUAAUUCAUUAUGAGAAUGAGCCACAUUCAUGCCUAAAAAAUAAAACCCAGUUUUUAAUUUGGAGGGGAGAGGGUUUGGGAGCUCUUCUUGAGGCUGUUUGAGGCUGACUUGAGCCAGGGCACACUCAGUCUUCUGAUCACUGU